rnacentral:rRNA from 1 species
AGCGAACGCUGGCGGCAGGCUUAACACAUGCAAGUCGAGCGGACCUUUCGGGGUCAGCGGCGGACGGGGGAGUAACGCGGGGGAACGUGCCUUCCGGUUCGGAAUAACCCUGGGAAACUAGGGCUAAUACCGGAUAAGCCCUGAUGGGGCAAGGUUUACUGCCGGAGGAUCGGCCGGCGUCCGAUUAGCUAGUUGGUGGGGUAACGGCCUACCAAGGCGACGAUCAGUAGCGGGUCUGAGAGGAUGAUCAGCGACACUGGGACUGAGACACGGCCCAGACUCCUACGGGAGGCAGCAGUGGGGAAUAUUGGACAAUGGGCGCAAGCCUGAUCCAGCCAUGCCGCGUGAGUGAUGAAGGCCUUAGGGUUGUAAAGCUCUUUUAUCCGGGACGAUAAUGACGGUACCGGAGGAAUAAGCCCCGGCUAACUUCGUG